rfam:Candidatus Levybacteria bacterium RBG_16_35_11 RBG_16_scaffold_309, whole genome shotgun sequence.
GCCCCCGUAGCUCAACGGAUAGAGUACUGGUCUUCGGAACCAGCAGUGGAGGUUCGAUUCCUCUCGGGGGCG